GUCCACAGGCUGCACGGCUGUGCACUGAAUCUUGCUGGUUUCUGCACGGAGAAACUUUCACACUUCGUUUUGGGUCUUUUUGUCAGAGAAAAUACAUUAAUCUUCAGUGAUGUCUUCAGCAGCCCCUUCCAGCGUGUGCCAGAGGGACAGUUACAGGUCCAGGGAGAGACUCAAAAAACAGAGAGCUGAACACAUUAGACUAGAGAAAAGUGAAUGCCAUUACCUCACAUGCCUGUGGAUGCAGCUGUAGGAGGCUUCAGUCAAAUCACCCACUACUCCAUCCCUUCCUGAUUGAAGUUGGGCUGUAGAAAAAUAUUUCCACUACCCUGAUAGUUAAAAAAAUGCCUGCUAGUUGUUUAUUGUUCAAGCAUUCCUGCUGCUUCCCUGUAGUUAAUGGAGGAAACGCCACGGGAGCCAAGGGAGAAACUGGCAAAGAGAAGCAGAAUAAAUUAAUAUCAUUGUUUCACCCUGGCCCCAUCCUGGGACAUCCAAUUGUUUCACAUGGGCAUUGGAGCUGGGGGUUUGCAUUCAGGUAUGGCCAAGAGAGUUGGAUUUCGGCUCUAGAGCUGCUGCUCCCUUUGGUGCAAUGUGGGAGGUGGGAUGGCUGAAGGGCAUGGCUGGAGAAAGGAGCAUUCUCCCAUGCAGUGGGCCUGGGUGUUGCGUGGGCAUACUGCUGGUAGCCUGCCAGGGCUGCUGCUGACCUACCUCUGCUCAGAGGAGGCUUUGGCCUCGGAGAAGCUGCCUGUUUCAUCCCUAGGCAAAGCAAGCCUUUUCCUUCCUUCAGCCGCUUCCUGGAAGGUCUCAGUUCCUAAAAGAACCUGUAUAACUUGAGCUCAGUCCUGUGGUUGCCCAGAGGCUCCGUUCCAUCAGAUGUGCCUGACAGGAGCAGUGGUGUUUGAUUUAUGUCAGAUUCCACGCUCUGUUGGCCCACAAUACCAGGCACGACUUCAACAUCUUAUGUCCAUAUUUUGCUCAGACUCUUUGACGUGAGCUUGGGAGAGCUGAUCUGGGCAGCUGAAGGUUGCCCUGUCCCUUGCCUAGCUUCCAGCUGUGGGUGCUGUACAUCUACAAAGGGCAAUUGCACCUUCAGCUGAGACUUGAGGAAUCCUUGUCACGGGAAGAAAAGCACAGAAGGUGAUGUGCUUCUGGUCACCUGAUGACUUACAAGGUCUCUUUCUUCUCACAUUAUCCUUUCAGUGCAUGGACAAGAGGAAGGAAAAGGCUGCUCAAACUGGCAGGUUCUCCCAACCACGUGUCCUUCUGGCAGCUGUGUGGGUGUGAUGGGGAUGGAAGGAAGAAUAACGUGCUAGAAAUCUCACCAGUUACACAGCUGGUAAUUUAUCCACUGGAAGGGAGAGGGAUGCAGGAGCCAAAGAGAUCAGCUCCACAAACACCUGAUCUCGGGACUAUUGCAGGACUGUCUCCAGAUCUUCCUUUGAAGGUGACAGACCAGGAAAGUGCAUCUGUACCAACCGGAGCACCAGGCCCACUAUGCUGAAGAGUUUGGCAUGCAUUUUCAAUUGUGAAGAUUCAGGUGUGCACUGAUACAACUCAUCCAAACUCAACAGAGCUGAUCCUGAUGUACACAAGGACACUUGUAUCCAGAUUACCCAGCUUUCCCCCUCCUCUUCCCCUCAAGGUCUUUCUGCUCAUGUCAUGUGUAAUGGCAUAAGUUCAGGUGUGGAUCAGAGAGACUUUGAAAUGGAAAAUCAGAGGAUACUGCAGGCCUUAUUUUGAGAAGAGCUGGCAGAGUGGUGAAGGUUAGGACUAAGGUAGGCUUGUAUGGAGUGCUGUGU